rnacentral:sRNA from 1 species
AUCUUUUCCUUGCUUUCCUAAAACAGUGCUCUUCUGUAGGGCUGUCCAAUGUAUGGGAACAUUACUGUAGGCAUUAAUAGGCAAGGGCCACACACGUGGACACAUGUUUCUGAAGUCCCCACUGAGAUUGGGGUCCAGGAAAAGCAGCAGCCUAAAAUUUGUGGGGAAGGAGCAAGGCAGGUCAACAGAGGGCCCUCGUUAUGGGGUAGAUGGAGGAGAGAAGGCGGCGUCCACCACAUAGCCUGGUGCCAGCAUUGAGAGGAGAAUCCAGUGAGGAAGCCUGGUUGAAACUUGUAACCUGGACAUCACUCCGGACGACCCCCGCUGGAUCGGAGCCUGGUGGGGUGGCUUUCUGCUCUGCGGUGCCUUACUCUUCUUCUCUUCCCUCUUGAUGUUUGGGUUUCCACAGUCCCUGCCCCCGCACUCAGACCCCGCCAUGGAAAGCGAGCAGGCCAUGCUCUCCGAAAGAGAAUACGAGAGACCCAAGCCCAGCAACGGGGUCCUGAGGCACCCCCUGGAGCCAGACAGCAGUGCCUCCUGUUUCCAGCAGCUGAGAGUGAUCCCGAAGGUCACCAAGCACCUGCUCUCAAACCCUGUGUUCACCUGCAUCAUCCUGGCCGCCUGCAUGGAGAUUGCAGUGGUGGCUGGCUUUGCUGCCUUUUUGGGGAAGUACCUGGAGCAGCAGUUUAACCUCACCACCUCUUCUGCCAACCAGCUGCUUGGGAUGACUGCGAUCCCGUGUGCUUGUCUGGGUAUCUUCCUGGGAGGUCUUUUGGUGAAGAAGCUCAGCCUGUCUGCCCUGGGGGCCAUUCGGAUGGCUAUGCUCGUCAACCUGGUGUCCACUGCUUGCUACGUCUCCUUCCUCUUCCUGGGCUGCGACACUGGCCCUGUGGCUGGGGUUACUGUUCCCUAUGGAAACAGCACAGCACCUGGCUCAGCCCUGGACCCCUACUCGCCCUGCAAUAAUAACUGUGAAUGCCAAACCGAUUCCUUCACUCCAGUGUGUGGGGCAGAUGGCAUCACCUACCUGUCUGCCUGCUUUGCUGGCUGCAACAGCACGAAUCUCACGGGCUGUGCGUGCCUCACCACCGUCCCUGCUGAGAACGCAACCGUGGUUCCUGGAAAAUGCCCCAGUCCUGGGUGCCAAGAGGCCUUCCUCACCUUCCUCUGUGUGAUGUGUAUCUGCAGCCUGAUCGGUGCCAUGGCACAGACACCCUCAGUCAUCAUCCUCAUCAGGACAGUCAGCCCUGAACUCAAGUCUUACGCUUUGGGAGUUCUUUUUCUCCUCCUUCGUUUGUUGGGCUUCAUCCCUCCACCCCUCAUCUUCGGGGCUGGCAUCGACUCCACCUGCCUGUUCUGGAGCACGUUCUGUGGGGAGCAAGGCGCCUGCGUCCUCUACGACAAUGUGGUCUACCGAUACCUGUAUGUCAGCAUCGCCAUCGCGCUCAAAUCCUUCGCCUUCAUCCUGUACACCACCACGUGGCAGUGCCUGAGGAAAAACUAUAAACGCUACAUCAAAAACCACGAGGGCGGGCUGAGCACCAGUGAGUUCUUUGCCUCUACUCUGACCCUAGACAACCUGGGGAGGGACCCUGUGCCCGCAAACCAGACACAUAGGACAAAGUUUAUCUAUAACCUGGAAGACCAUGAGUGGUGUGAAAACAUGGAGUCCGUUUUAUAGUGACUAAAGGAGGGCUGAACUCUGUAUUAGUAAUCCAAGGGUCAUUUUUUUCUUAAAAAAAGAAAAAAAGGUUUCCAAAAAAACCCAAAACUCAGUACACACACAGAGGCACAGAUGCACACACGCGCAGACAGACACACCGACUUUGUCCUUUUUCUCAGCAUCAGAGCCAGACAGGAUUCAGAAUAAGGAGAGAAUGACAUCGUGCGGCGGGGUCCUGGAGGCCACUCGCGCGGCUGGGCCACAGAGUCUACUUUGAAGGCACCUCAUGGUUUUCAGGAUGCUGACAGCUGCAAGCAACAGGCACUGCCAAAUUCAGGGAACAGUGGUGGCCAGCUUGGAGGAUGGACAUUUCUGGAUAUACAUACACAUACAAAACAGAAAACAUUUUUUAAAAGAAGUUUACUAAAAU